GACGAACGCUGGCGGCGUGCUUAACACAUGCAAGUCGAGCGGAAAGGCCCUUCGGGGUACUCGAGCGGCGAACGGGUGAGUAACACGUGAGCAACCUGCCCUUGGCUUUGGGAUAACCCUCGGAAACGGGGGCUAAUACCGGAUAUCCACUUUGUACCGCAUGGUGUUUGGUGGAAAGUUUUUCGGCCAGGGAUGGGCUCGCGGCCUAUCAGCUUGUUGGUGGGGUGAUGGCCUACCAAGGCGACGACGGGUAGCCGGCCUGAGAGGGCGACCGGCCACACUGGGACUGAGACACGGCCCAGACUCCUACGGGAGGCAGCAGUGGGGAAUAUUGCACAAUGGGCGAAAGCCUGAUGCAGCGACGCCGCGUGAGGGAUGACGGCCUUCGGGUUGUAAACCUCUUUCAGCAGGGACGAAGCGAGAGUGACGGUACCUGCAGAAGAAGCGCCGGCCAACUACGUGCCAGCAGCCGCGGUAAGACGUAGGGCGCGAGCGUUGUCCGGAUUUAUUGGGCGUAAAGAGCUCGUAGGCGGCUUGUCGCGUCGACUGUGAAAACCUGCGGCUCAACCGCGUGGUCUGCAGUCGAUACGGGCAGGCUAGAGUUCGGUAGGGGAGACUGGAAUUCCUGGUGUAGCGGUGAAAUGCGCAGAUAUCAGGAGGAACACCGGUGGCGAANGCGGGUCUCUGGGCCGAUACUGACGCUGAGGAGCGAAAGCGUGGGGAGCGAACAGGAUUA
rnacentral:rRNA from 1 species